CCACUAAAUCAUGAUGAUAUCAUAACCUAUUUACUUGCAGGUCUCAGUCAUGAGUAUGAUAGUCUUGUGGCUUCCAUUUCAGCACGCACAGAUGAAUAUUACACUGGAGGAAAUCUACUCUCUAUUGCUGACUUCUGA
rnacentral:sRNA from 1 species